CCGGUUUUCACAGUGAUUUGCCAGAUAUGUUAAAUUCUGAGAUCAUUGUGAAAGCUGAUU
rnacentral:pre_miRNA from 1 species